CCAGUUUCCAUGUUUUACCAAUCUUCAUACGUUUGUCUAGUCUUGCAAAGUUAGGUUAGGUUAGGUUAGGUUAGGUUAGGUUAGCAAGCCAUCAGAGGUCGUGUGGAUGAGCCUCAAUAAAAGACGCCAGCCAGUUUCCACAUUUUACCAAUCUUCAUACGUUUGUCUAGUCUUGCAAAGUUAGGUUAGGUUAGGUUAGCAAGCCAUCAGAGGUCGUGUGGAAGAGCCUCAAUAAAAGACGCCAGCCAGUUUC